AUUCUUCGGGAUCUUGAGAGCGGCGCACGGGUGCGGAACACGUGUGCAACCUGCCUUUAUCAGGGGAAUAGCCUUUCGAAAGGAAGAUUAAUGCCCCAUAAUAUUUAGAAUGGCAUCAUUUUAAAUUGAAAACUCCGGUGGAUAGAGAUGGGCACGCGCAGGAUUAGAUAGUUGGUAGGGUAACGGCCUACCAAGUCAACGAUCCUUAGGGGGCCUGAGAGGGUGAUCCCCCACACUGGUACUGAGACACGGACCAGACUCCUACGGGAGGCAGCAGUGAGGAAUAUUGGACAAUGGGUGAGAGCCUGAUCCAGCCAUCCCGCGUGAAGGACGACGGCCCUAUGGGUUGUAAACUUCUUUUGUACAGGGAUAAACCUUUCCACGUGUGGGAAGCUGAAGGUACUGUACGAAUAAGCACCGGCUAACUCCGUGCCAGCAGCCGCGGUAAUACGGAGGGUGCAAGCGUUAUCCGGAUUUAUUGGGUUUAAAGGGUCCGUAGGCGGACUCGUAAGUCAGUGGUGAAAUCUCACAGCUUAACUGUGAAACUGCCAUUGAUACUGCGGGUCUUGAGUGUUGUUGAAGUAGCUGGAAUAAGUAGUGUAGCGGUGAAAUGCAUAGAUAUUACUUAGAACACCAAUUGCGAAGGCAGGUUACUAAGCAACAACUGACGCUGAUGGACGAAAGCGUGGGGAGCGAACAGGAUUAGAUACCCUGGUAGUCCACGCCGUAAACGAUGCUAACUCGUUUUUGGGCUUUCGGGUUCAGAGACUAAGCGAAAGUGAUAAGUUAGCCACCUGGGGAGUACGUUCGCAAGAAUGAAACUCAAAGGAAUUGACGGGGGCCCGCACAAGCGGUGGAUUAUGUGGUUUAAUUCGAUGAUACGCGAGGAACCUUACCAAGGCUUAAAUGGGAAUUGACAGGCUUAGAAAUAGGCUUUUCUUCGGACAAUUUUCAAGGUGCUGCAUGGUUGUCGUCAGCUCGUGCCGUGAGGUGUUAGGUUAAGUCCUGCAACGAGCGCAACCCCUGUCACUAGUUGCCAUCAUUCAGUUGGGGACUCUAGUGAGACUGCCUACGCAAGU
rnacentral:rRNA from 1 species